rnacentral:lncRNA from 1 species
AGGUGAACCUGCAGUCCUUCAGAAUCAGCCUUUAAGGCCUCAUAUUGAUGCUGGACCUCAGUUCUCUGGCUCACAGCCUCAUCUCUCUCUCGAAGGGCCCCCGUCAUAGAAGACAGCUGCUUUAAAACUUCUGUACAAUGAGCCUCCACGGCAGCUGCUCUCUCAUCAGACUCCUUGAGAACCUUGCGAGUAUGAGACAGCUCUGCUUCUAAAGACUUGGUGUGCUCUGCUGUCUCAACUGCCUUCUCCUCAGCCUUUUUAAU